AGCCAUGCAGUGAGCACAGAGCGAACUAUUCUUUCGCCUUUUACUAAAGAAUACCGUGUGCUCGCUGCUCGAAGUGGCAUACGCCUAUUUUUGGAGAGUCCCUUUUUUUAUUGAAGGGC
rnacentral:snRNA from 1 species